AAUCAGUAUCGGCCGGCCUGUUGACGCCAUGGAACAAGAAAUCCAGUUAAGAUCCAAUCAACAAGAGAAUUUUGCCCGUCUCGGCCGCCAGAGCUUCGAUAGGCGUCGAAGCCAAGCAGAAAAGAUGUGCUAUCUUUCAGGUCGGCAUACGGAAACUAUCCAGACGGCUCCAUCCAUAUCCAUAUCCAUGGCAUGAGAAUCGAGAUGCCAAGAUCUUAGACCCUUUUCUUUUUGGAGAGGAGGAAGGGGAAAGGAGAGGUCAAGGGGAGGAAAGAGGUGGGGUGGGGUGAGGCGAGGAAGAAGAUAAUAGCCACACGGGAGGCCUGUACAAAACUCACUCCCUCCGUAUGCGGGUCAGUUUCCAUCUAUAUUCGGAGGAGUCAAAAACACGCAAGGAAACCAAACUAUUUUUUUGCUGGCAUCGUGACGGAAGUUUUGACAAGAUCGCGAGUCGGUUGCUGCGUCAGCCAAGCGAUCCGCCGUGUAGUUACGUCACGUGUGGAUGUGAAAACCUUUGCGUAACAGAGACAAAAGGAGGUUGCCAGAGG
rnacentral:lncRNA from 1 species